UCCGUAGGCGGUUUUGUAAGUCAGUGGUGAAAGCCCAUCGCUCAACGGUGGAACGGCCAUUGAUACUGCAAGACUUGAAUUAUUAGGAAGUAACUAGAAUAUGUAGUGUAGCGGUGAAAUGCUUAGAGAUUACAUGGAAUACCAAUUGCGAAGGCAGGUUACUACUAAUUGAUUGACGCUGAUGGACGAAAGCGUGGGAGCGAACA
rnacentral:rRNA from 1 species